AUACUAUGAUGCUUGCAUAGUUCAUCAGAUUGAUUUUGAAGAUGUGUAUCAUUGGACUGACGUAUCU